GGGGAAUUACCCAAGCGGUCAAAGGGGACAGACUGUAAAUCUGUUGGCCUCGCGCCUUCGAAGGUUCGAAUCCUUCAUUCCCCA
rnacentral:tRNA from 1 species